rnacentral:rRNA from 1 species
ACCUAGCUACAGGCUUAACACAUGCAAGUCGAGGGGAAACGGCAUUAAGUGCUUGCACUUUUUGGACGUCGACCGGCGCACGGGUGAGUAACGCGUAUCCAACCUUCCCAUGACUAAGGGAUAACCUGCCGAAAGGCAGACUAAUACCUUAUGGUCUUCACUGACGGCAUCAGAUGUGAAGUAAAGAUUUAUCGGUUAUGGAUGGGGAUGCGUCUGAUUAGUUAGUUGGCGGGGUAACGGCCCACCAAGGCAACGAUCAGUAGGGGUUCUGAGAGGAAGGUCCCCCACAUUGGAACUGAGACACGGUCCAAACUCCUACGGGAGGCAGCAGUGAGGAAUAUUGGUCAAUGGGCGAGAGCCUGAACCAGCCAAGUAGCGUGCAGGAUGACGGCCCUAUGGGUUGUAAACUGCUUUUGUAUGGGGAUAAAGUCAAUCACGUGUGAUUGUUUGCAGGUACCAUACGAAUAAGGACCGGCUAAUUCCGUGCCAGCAGCCGCGGUAAUACGGAAGGUCCGGGCGUUAUCCGGAUUUAUUGGGUUUAAAGGGAGCGUAGGCUGGAGAUUAAGUGUGUUGUGAAAUGUAGACGCUCAACGUCUGACUUGCAGCGCAUACUGGUUUCCUUGAGUACGCACAACGUUGGCGGAAUUCGUCGUGUAGCGGUGAAAUGCUUAGAUAUGACGAAGAACUCCGAUUGCGAAGGCAGCUGACGGGAGCGCAACUGACGCUGAAGCUCGAGGGUGCGGGUAUCGAACAGGAUUAGAUACCCUGGUAGUCCGCACAGUAAACGAUGGAUGCCCGCUGUUGGUACUUGGUAUCAGCGGCUAAGCGAAAGCAUUAAGCAUCCCACCUGGGGAGUACGCCGGCAACGGUGAAACUCAAAGGAAUUGACGGGGGCCCGCACAAGCGGAGGAACAUGUGG